ensembl:rRNA 5S_rRNA 5S ribosomal RNA
UCACCCCGACAGCACCUGGUGACAGAACCUGGGCUUCUAGCCCAGAAGCUAAGCUGGGUUGGGCCUCAAUGAGGCUUAGAUGCGGGACCACCUGGAAAUACCAGUGGU